rnacentral:SRP_RNA from 1 species
GCUGGCAUGGUGGUGCAUGCCUGUAGUCCCAGCUACUCAGGAGGCUGAGGUAGGAGGAUAACUUGAGCCCAGGAGGUCAGGGCUGCAGUGAGCUAUGAUGGCACCACUGCACUCUAGCCUGGGCAACAGAGUGAAACCCUGCCUCAA